rnacentral:tRNA from 1 species
AAAGAUUUAGUUUAAAAUAAAACAUUAGUUUGUCAAAUUAAAAUUACUUGUUUAGUAAUCUUUU